UAGCAAUCUGUGCGAUUGUUUUUUUUUAAUUUUUGCUGAAUAUCUGCUUACACUGGAAAACUUGUUUUUGUAGUCAAAACUGUAAAUAAAAGAAUGUGCCUAUACACGGGUAGGGGGCGUGGAGCUUCGCACCGAUUUGCUGUCGCUCGAUAAAUUGAUCGCUACGUUGCUGCCUGCGUCACCGCUUUGCCUUUUGACGUUAAUACUGGUAGAAUUGUAAUUGUCACUCGCGUCUGGUGCUUUUUCAAAAUUCGGGAGUUGGAACGUUUCCGUGGUGUCCGCGGCGGGGACGGGCUCUUCCCUCUCGGGCGUAACCAUAGCGAGUUAGGACCUACCUUCAUAUCGCAAAGCCCCUGAAUUUUCAGCAGUUUGGCAACGGACAGCAAAUUCGGCAGUUGCUCCUUCGAUACCACACACUGACCCUUGUACAUGAACGCGAGCA